rnacentral:rRNA from 1 species
UACGUAGGGUGCGAGCGUUGUCCGGAAUUACUGGGCGUAAAGAGCUCGUAGGUGGUUUGUCGCGUCUGCUGUGAAAACCUGAGGCUCAACCUCGGGCUUGCAGUGGGUACGGGCAGACUAGAGUGCGGUAGGGGAGACUGGAAUUCCUGGUGUAGCGGUGAAAUGCGCAGAUAUCAGGAGGAACACCGGUGGCGAAGGCGGGUCUCUGGGCCGAUACUGACGCUGAGGAGCGAAAGCGUGGGGAGCGAACAGG